rnacentral:tRNA from 1 species
GCAGUGGUGGUUCAGUGGUAGAAUUCUUGCUUUCCACACAGAGGACCUGGGUUCGAUUCCCGGCCAAUGCA